AAAGCGAGGCCGGGGACUGAAGGUGUGGGUGUCGAGCCCUCUGGCAGAGGGUUAACCUGGGUCAAAUGCACGGAUUCUCACCUCGUACAGUUACGCUCUCCCGCGGCACGUCCGCGAGGACUUGAAGUCCUGAGCGCUCAAGUUUGUCCGUAGGUCGAGAGAAGGCCAUGGAGGUGCCGCCACCGGCACCGCGGAGCUUUCUCUGUAGAGCAUUGUGCCUAUUUCCCCGAGUCUUUGCUGCCGAAGCUGUGACUGCCGAUUCGGAAGUCCUUGAGGAGCGUCAGAAGCGGCUUCCCUACGUCCCAGAGCCCUAUUACCCGGAAUCUGGAUGGGACCGCCUCCGGGAGCUGUUUGGCAAAGACUGUCACGGGAAGUCUUUUUAGGAUAAACGUAGGCCUGCGUGGCCUGGUGGCUGGUGGCAUAAUUGGAGCCUUGCUGGGCACUCCUGUAGGAGGCCUGCUGAUGGCAUUUCAGAAGUACUCUGGUGAGACUGUUCAGGAAAGAAAACAGAAGGAUCGAAAGGCACUCCAUGAGCUAAAACUGGAAGAGUG
rnacentral:lncRNA from 1 species